CUAAUUUCUUCAGCUAAUGUAUGAGCGGACAAGAAGUAUAAGUAGCCUUCCACCUCAAAUCAGCUUCCAUUCUUUGCAGAUUUUUGUAACCUCUGCUUCUCAUGGUAAGUCCGAUUCGCCUGCCGCUCUGUGCUAUUUAUUGAUUAAUAUUUGUCUAAUGGGUUGCUCUAUUUUCGCUCCGCCUCCGUGGAGAAUGAAUUUGUUCGUUGGUGUUGGUGUGCGUGUUCUGUUUUGUUGAGGUAAUAAUAACAUAACUGAAGCAAAUAUUGGAAGCAGAAACAUCAUUGUGCUUAGUGCGAGACAUUCAUUGCUUAUGCAGUGCAAUCUGCAGGUACAUCACGACCCUGGUAGAGUGCAAUCUGCCUUGGCCGAACGAUGAAAUUCACACCAAGAUCGGAACAUCUUGGGCGAAAGGGUUUUCGGCAAAGGAGAUGCCGCUUAUUCCAGGAAAGACUGUCAAACUUUAACGGUAGUGGGAGGGCCGACCCCACCAUUGACGGGCAUUUCCGCAAGCAUCUGAGCUCCCUCUGCAGUCGGCAGGCAGAUCCAGCGGUGGCCUUGGACAAUGGCAGCGCGUCUUCAUUCGAUUCCCACUACUACAGAAAUUUGGAAAGCGGAAAAGGGCUUCUGUAUGUCGAUCAGGCGUUAAUGGCGGCGCCCCUCACCCGCAGCAUAGUCGACUUGUACGCUUCCAAUCAGGAGCUCUUCUACCGUGAUUUCUCACUCGCCAUGGUCAAACUUUUCAACCUGACUGUGCUCACAGGAAAACAGGGGCAGAUAAGAAAAGAGUGCUCUAAGCUUGUCAAUAGCAGCGGGAGGUCAAGAAAGCCCGUCACUGGCAAAUUGAAGUUGCUCUGGUACAGCCUCACUCCCGCUUCCAGUCGCUCAUCAAACAACCCAUCGUCUGCCCCUGCAUUGGCCUCUAUAGUUGAAGCUUCCAGUCUCUCAUCGAACAACAAGAAGCAUAAGUAGCCUUCCGCCUCAAAUGGGCUUCCAUUCUUUCCUGUUUUUUGUAAACUCUGCUUCCUCAAGAAUGCAGGAUCAGCACCUCCGUGGAGAAUGACGCUGGGGUUUUGUUUGUCGGUGUUGGUGUGCGUGUCCUAUUGCACUUGGUGCCCGCAGGCACAAGCUAUUUUUAAGGCUACAAGUAACGAGCUGUCCAGGAAAUCCGAUUGGUCUUCCACGACUGUUUUGUUGAGAGAUGGGAUGCAUCUGUCGGGUCGAGGGAGGCUUAUCACCUGAGAAAUAUCGAUCCCAAAUAUCAAAUGUCUUAGGGGAUACGACGUAAAUGAUGAGAUGAAGCAAAGAUUGGAAGCAGUCUGUCCUGAAACAUCAUGGUGAUUAGUGCAAGACAUUCCGUGGUUAUGGCAAUCUGUAGGUACAACACAAUUCAUUUAGCAGCCUGGUAGAGAGAAAUUCACACCAAGAUCCGCUCAUUCGGGACGAAAGGGUUUUCAGCAAAGGAAAUGGAGAGCUCAGUGCCGCUUUUUCCAGGAAAGACUGUCAAAGUGGGAGAGCAUUGAGAGGCAUUUGAACUCCCUCGUUGUUCGAUUACAGAAAUUUGAAAAGCGGAAAAGGGCUUCUAUAUGUCGACUUGUUCGCUUCUAAUCAGGAGCUCUUCUACCGUGAUUGCUCAAACUUUUCAACCUGAACGUGCUCACAGCAAAACAGGGGCAGAUAAGAAAAAAGUGCUCUAAGCUUGUCAGUAGCAGCAGGAGGUCAUAUGAUGGGUCUCCUUUCGAAGAUCCAGAAGAAUCAUUUCCCUUCUAAUACAUUUUCUUUUCUGCCUGUCGAUUCUUUCAUGUACUAUUCUGUAUAAUCUCUCUUUUGACGAUGGAAAAUUCUGUUUAUAAUGAAACCAUGGCUUGACUGUUACACAGUUCAAUGAACCAUAUAUUCGUUUAUUUUAUGAAAUACAGGCACACCAUGUAACCAUGGCGUGACAGUUACACAGCUCAAUAAACCAUAUAUUCUAUUUUUAAUGAAAUAGAGGCACAACAGCUUGUGGAUUGUUCUGCUCUUUUCAUGAUACUAGAAAAACAAAUUAUGCAGUCCCAGAGUGUAUAGAGAUUACAUUUGUUUUAUUUUAAUAAAUUAUGUUAUAAUAA